rnacentral:rRNA from 1 species
UGUACACACCGCCCGUCGCUACUACCGAUUGAAUGGCUCGGUGAGGCCUUCGGACUGGCCCAGGAGGGUUGGCAACGACCCCCCAGGGCCGGAAAGUUGGUCAAACCCGGUCAUUUAGAGGAAGUAAAAGUCGUAACAAGGUUUCCGUAGGUGAACCUGCGGAAGGAUCAUUACCGAGUGUAGGGUUCCUAGCGAGCCCAACCUCCCACCCGUGUUUACUGUACCUUAGUUGCUUCGGCGGGCCCGCCAUUCAUGGCCGCCGGGGGCUCUCAGCCCCGGGCCCGCGCCCGCCGGAGACACCACGAACUCUGUCUGAUCUAGUGAAGUCUGAGUUGCUUGUAUCGCAAUCAGUUAAAACUUUCAACAAUGGAUCUCUUGGUUCCGGCAUCGAUGAAGAACGCAGCGAAAUGCGAUAACUAGUGUGAAUUGCAGAAUUCCGUGAAUCAUCGAGUCUUUGAACGCACAUUGCGCCCCCUGGUAUUCCGGGGGGCAUGCCUGUCCGAGCGUCAUUGCUGCCCAUCAAGCACGGCUUGUGUGUUGGGUCGUCGUCCCCUCUCCGGGGGGGACGGGCCCCAAAGGCAGCGGCGGCACCGCGUCCGAUCCUCGAGCGUAUGGGGCUUUGUCACCCGCUCUGUAGGCCCGGCCGGCGCUUGCCGAACGCAAAUCAAUCUUUUUCCAGGUUGACCUCGGAUCAGGUAGGGAUACCCGCUGAACUUAAGCAUAU